rnacentral:rRNA from 1 species
AUUGAACGCUGGCGGAAUGCUUUACACAUGCAAGUCGAGCGGCAGCGCGGGGGCAACCCUGGCGGCGAGCGGCGAACGGGUGAGUAAUACAUCGGAACGUGUCCUUAAGUGGGGGAUAGCUCGGCGAAAGCCGGAUUAAUACCGCAUAAGCUCUGAGGAGGAAAGCGGGGGCUCCGUAAGGACCUCGCGCUGUUGGAGCGGCCGAUGUCGGAUUAGCUAGUUGGUGGGGUAAAGGCCCACCAAGGCGACGAUCCGUAGCUGGUCUGAGAGGAUGAUCAGCCACACUGGAACUGAGACACGGUCCAGACUCCUACGGGAGGCAGCAGUGGGGAAUUUUGGACAAGUGGGGGCAACCCUGAUCCAGCCAUUCCGCGUGAGUGAAGAAGGCCUUC